CAAGAAUGCAAAUUCAGUCAAAUCAAACCCAAGAUCAAAGGAAAAACAUUGCAUGGAUGAAGAUCUCUCAUCAUCUAGCUCUAAUAAGCAAGUGAGGAAUCAUAUCAAGAUGGACUCAAGCAUGAAAGGCUAACGGGUCAAGAGGAGGCAAGGAAGUGGAUACGGACACGGAUGCACAAGGUUGUACGAAUCAUGGGCGGUUAUCACGAGCAAUAGAGAUCGAAGACCGAGCCAUAAGAUAGAUUGUACGGGGAUAAUUGAGUAUGU